rnacentral:piRNA from 1 species
CUGUAAGCCACAGGUGGAAAAGCAGAA